rnacentral:rRNA from 1 species
UACGAAGGGGGGCUAGCGUUGCUCGGAAUUACUGGGCGUAAAGGGCGCGUAGGCGGCCUUCUAAGUCGAACGUGAAAUCCCCGGGCUCAACCCGGGAACUGCGUCCGAUACUGGAAGGCUUGAAUCCGGGAGAGGGAUGUGGAAUUCCUGGUGUAGCGGUGGAAUGCGCAGAUAUCAGGAGGAAUACCCAUAGCGAAGGCAGCUCGCUGGGACGUUACUGACGCUGAGGCGCGAAAGCGUGGGGAGCGAACAGG